rnacentral:rRNA from 1 species
GAUGAACGCUGGCGGCGUGCCUAAUACAUGCAAGUCGAGCGAACAGAUGAGGAGCUUGCUCCUCUGACGUUAGCGGCGGACGGGUGAGUAACACGUGGAUAACCUACCUAUAAGACUGGGAUAACUUCGGGAAACCGGAGCUAAUACCGGAUAAUAUAUUGAACCGCAUGGUUCAAUAGUGAAAGACGGUUUUGCUGUCACUUAUAGAUGGAUCCGCGCCGCAUUAGCUAGUUGGUAAGGUAACGGCUUACCAAGGCAACGAUGCGUAGCCGACCUGAGAGGGUGAUCGGCCACACUGGAACUGAGACACGGUCCAGACUCCUACGGGAGGCAGCAGUAGGGAAUCUUCCGCAAUGGGCGAAAGCCUGACAGAGCAACGCCGCGUGAGUGAUGAAGGUCUUCGGAUCGUAAAACUCUGUUAUUAGGGAAGAACAAAUGUGUAAGUAACUAUGCACGUCUUGACGGUACCUAAUCAGAAAGCCACGGCUAACUACGUG